rnacentral:piRNA from 1 species
UAGAUCCUCUGAUGGGCUAAAUUUUGUC